GGACUACUGGGGUAUCUAAUCCCGUUCGCUACCCUGGCUUUCGUGCCUCAGCGUCAGAUAAGACCCAGUGAGCCGCCUUCGCCACCGGUGUUCCUUAGGAUAUCAACGCAUUUCACCGCUCCACCCUAAGUUCCGCUCACCUCUGUCUUCCUCAAGCACGGCAGUUUUGGGCGCAAUUCCUCAGUUAAGCUGAGGUAUUUCACACCCAACUUGCCGCACAGCCUACGCACCCUUUAAGCCCAGUAAUUCCGAAUAACGUUCGUGUGGCUCGUCUUACCGCGGCUGCUGGCAC
rnacentral:rRNA from 3 species